rnacentral:rRNA from 1 species
GUACACGCUGUGACUAGCAUAUCAAUAAGCGGAGGAAAAGAAACUAACAAGGAUUCCCCUAGUAACGGCGAGUGAAGCGGGAAGAGCUCAAAUUUGAAAUCUUAAAGGGUUUCCCUUUACGAAUUGUAGUUUAAAGAAGUGUUUUCUGUUGAGGUUUUGGUAAAAGUUCUUUGGAAUAGGACAUCAUAGAGGGUGAGAAUCCCGUAUUUGACCUUUACUUUCAACUUUGUGAUACACUUUCAAAGAGUCGGAUUGUUUGGGAAUGCAGUCCAAAAUGGGUGGUAAAUUUCAUCUAAAGCUAAAUAUUGGCGAGAGACCGAUAGCGAACAAGUACCGUGAGGGAAAGAUGAAAAGAACUUUGAAAAGAGAGUUAAACAGUACGUGAAAUUGUCAAAAGGGAAGCGUUUGACACCAGUGUUGUUUUUCUGAAGAUCAAUUAAAGAACUGUUUAUGCUAAGCUGUUUAGACUUUAUCAGCUAUCUGUUUAGUUUUGAGCUUUUCUUUAAUGCACUUUUCAGUUAACAAGUCAACAUCAAUUUCUUUUGCUGUAAAAAAGCUUGAGGAAGGUGGCUUGAGAUUCGUCUUAAGUGUUUAUAGCCUCUUGCCUAUGCAGUCGGAGAGAUUGAGGUCUGCAGCGUAGAUCCUUCGGGGCUAAAUGCAUUUGUGCUAAGUUAUAGCAUUUUAUAGACAACUUGUUGACUAUGAUUUGUCUUGUAGCUUACUCGCUUAUGUUAUUUUACCUACGCUUAGGAUGUUGAGGUCGUAGAGCACGCAG